CUGCCUCCUGAACGCCUCCCACUGGAGAUUGAGCCAGCAACCCAGGCAUAUACCCUUGACCGGAAUCAAACCUAGGACCCUUCAGUCCGCAGGCCAAUGCUCUAUCCACUGAGCAAAACUGGCUAUGGCUCAUAAAAAUUAUAGCUGUUAUUAAGUGUGCUGCUUGUCAGAUAUUAACUAUAUAUUUAAUUAUUUAGUUCUCAAAUGCUCUAUUUCCAUCUUCAUGUAUUAUAGGGAAACAUUUGUACAGCGGGUCCUUGAAUAAUGUUUUGUUCAAGGUCCUUUAUAACAUUGAACUUAACUCUUGUUUAUUUAUAUGAACCUGUGCUAAAUAAAAUCUGUUUCAGUAGAUAUUGUUUGGCUUAAAGUCACAACCUAUCGAUGACGUUAAGUGAGGACUUAUUGUCUACAAGUCAUCAUUCUUUUCUCCUUAGUACCUGUAGCCAGAUACUGCAUACAGUUGUAUGUGGCCAAAACUGAGAGUACUGAGAUCAGGGUUUAGGGUUUUACUGGGGUCACUCUGCCUUGUAUGGCUCAGUGAUGGAAAACUAGAGUUGGGGGUGGUUGUAUUAGUGGGCUAAGGCUGUCAUAACAAAGUACUACAGACUGGGUCACUUAAAAGAAAUUUAUCCCUCACAGCUCUGAAGGCUGGAAGUUCAAGAUCAAAGGUGUCAUCAAGGUCUGACUAUAGGGGGAUAUGGUCAAUAUCUGGGGAGGCCCAUGUGUGUCUGUGGUUGAGAGGCUGAAGCUAUGGAGGCCCAGGACCCCUGUGCUGCUGGGACAGACCCGAUGAACGUUACUUUCCCUUCAGUCUUUCAAGACCAUGUUAAUACGGGAAUUGAAGAUGUGGCUUUGGACUUCACCUGGGAGGAAUGGCAGCUUCUGGACCCGAUUAGGACCUGUACAGGGACGUGAUGUUGAGAACUACAGCCACCUGUCAGUGGGUGAGGACAGCUCCCCUGUGUCACUCAGAGGGUCCCCGGUCAGUGGCCUCUCCUCCUAGCUGCUUCAGAGUCUCUGUAGUGCUCUCAAGUGAUAGAUUCUCAGACCCCUCUCUGGCU